CUUACUGCUUUAUAAUGCAUGCGAGUAGACAAGCUUCAAGCAGAAACGUACUUACAGAUUAAGGGAUAUGAUUGAACCGUUACAUCUGGCCAACAGAAACAGAGCUCUGGGACAUGUGGACAGACAUUGACUGUAAUGAUGGACAUCUGCUGAUGCACAGGCAGAAGCAUAACCCCUGCUGGACAUUGUGCUGGAACUCAGGGGGGGAUGCCAUGAUCCCCCACACCUUCUCACUCA